GACACCAUCGUGACGAAGAUUCAAAUCAAUCCACGCAGCGACGGCGCGUGGGCGCGCACGAAAGUACGUUUUUUUGCGAUUUAGACCGUAUACGCAGACAAAUCUCGUACUUUUGGCACGGGAAAUUUCAUUUAUACUGGAGCGUGACCUUAACUCGCAUAGCGGGAAUUGACAUGCAUGCAUAGGGCCUACAGUACGUGUAGAACCCUUCCAGCCAAAUAUCACGUAUCCGGGCACUACUUUCGUACGUACGGAAGUACUUUCGUACAGUACGGAAGUACUUCCGGAAGUACUAGCUAGGCCUACUGUAUUUACGUUGUACCUUCGUACGAAGGUACGAAAGUACGGAAGUAGUACUUCCGGGAGUGCUGUACGGAAUUACUUCCGGGAGUACUGUACGGAAUUACUUCCGGAAGAAGUACUUCCGGAAGUGAAGAUACGGAAGUACUUCCGGAAGUACAACUAACGUUGUACGAAAGUACGAAAGUACCUUCGAAGGUACUUUCGUACUUUCGUACUUCCGUACUUCGGAAGUACUUUCGUACGAAAGUACGAAAGUAUCAUUACUUCCGGAAGUACAACUACUUCCGGUACAACGUAGUACGGAACGAAGUACUUUCGUACUUUCGUACGAAAGUACUUCCGUAUUAUUGUACAUACACGUACAAUAAAUACUGUGCUUCCCCGAUAGGUACUGUCUACCUUCGUACGAAAGUACGAAAGUACCUUCGAAGGUAAAUCUUAUUGUACAGUGUACGUUGUAGUCUAAAUAGUACGUACGGAAGUACGUGUACUUUCGUACUUUCGUAUUAUCUUAUCUAUUAUGGUUAGGUGGGCGUAUUGCUGUGGUUUUAUUGUCAUAGGACGCGAUGCUGAGUGACUCUCUACAGUAGUCCUCUCUUGGUUGGGAACUGCCAGUCAUUCUGUUCAGGUAAUACUCAAGUGCCUUCGGCUUCGCCGUCGGUAGUUGGGAGAAGGGGCACGGCAGGGUAUUUAGUCUGAUAAGUACGGAAGUUCGUGUAUUGGUUUAAAAAUGGUUUUCAUCUGAAGAGUUCAUCUUCAGGUCCCGUGUGCAUACGAAACUCCAAACGCAUUUGAUAGGCUGAAAUUUUCGUGCCUAGGUCCGGGAAAAACCCCAAAUAUUGUAGCCUCGCUCUCUUGAAUCGAUGUUACCUUCGUACCUCCGUGCAUUUAUGGAACUAAUUUCGGAAUAAUGUUCGACAGGUGAGUUAACUCUCAUGCAUGAUGGCCUGUCCUAUUCUUGAACUCCACUAUGACGAGAACGCGCUCAGACGACAGCAGCGCCGUGUUAGGCAAUCACACAGUAAUAUCACGUAGAUAUUUCAGCUGACCAGCCACCGGGCGAGCUAGGAGACGAGAACGAUGUGCGCCGUCGCACUGUGCAAACUUGAUCUGUGUCGUUCAAAACAUUUCUGACAAUCCGCGAGGGGAGGGGCGCGACCGGGCACGCGCUCGAAUGGGAAACUAGAAUGGGCGCUGCGCGGGCUGCGCGAGCGACAU
rnacentral:lncRNA from 1 species